GCUGUCGCAAAAUCGGCAGCCGGGCGUAGGAACCCGUGUUUAACAAAGGCGACACAACACGCGCCAGGCGUGUUUUUU
rnacentral:sRNA from 1 species